rnacentral:rRNA from 1 species
GACGAACGCUGGCGGCGUGCUUAACACAUGCAAGUCGAACGAAGAGCGAUGGAAGCUUGCUUCUAUCAAUCUUAGUGGCGAACGGGUGAGUAACGCGUAAUCAACCUGCCCUUCAGAGGGAGACAACAGUUGGAAACGACUGCUAAUACCGCAUACGAUCUAAUCUCGGCAUCGAGGAUAGAUGAAAGGUGGCCUCUACAUGUAAGCUAUCACUGAAGGAGGGGAUUGCGUCUGAUUAGCUAGUUGGAGGGGUAACGGCCCACCAAGGCGAUGAUCAGUAGCCGGUCUGAGAGGAUGAACGGCCACAUUGGGACUGAGACACGGCCCAGACUCCUACGGGAGGCAGCAGUGGGGAAUCUUCCGCAAUGGACGAAAGUCUGACGGAGCAACGCCGCGUGAGCGAUGACGGCCUUCGGGUUGUAAAGCUCUGUUAAUCGGGACGAAAGGCCUUCUUGCGAAUAGUGAGAAGGAUUGACGGUACCGGAAUAGAAAGCCACGGCUAACCACGUG